rnacentral:rRNA from 1 species
CGGUGAAACUCAAAGGAAUUGACGGGGGCCCGCACAAGCGGAGGAACAUGUGGUUUAAUUCGAUGAUACGCGAGGAACCUUACCCGGGUUUGAACGUAGGGAGACAGGGGUGGAAACAUCCUUUUCAGCAAUGACUGCCUACGAGGUGCUGCAUGGUUGUCGUCAGCUCGUGCCGUGAGGUGUCGGCUUAAGUGCCAUAACGAGCGCAACCCUUAUUUCCAGUUACUAACGGGUGAAGCUGAGGACUCUGGAGAGACUGCCAGCGUAAGCUGUGAGGAAGGUGGGGAUGACGUCAAAUCAGCACGGCCCUUACAUCCGGGGCGACACGCGUGUUACAAUGGUAAGGACAAAGGGCAGCUACCGGGCGACCGGAUGCGAAUCUCUAAACCUUAUCUCAGUUCGGAUCGGAGUCUGCAACUCGACUCCGUGAAGCUGGAUUCGCUAGUAAUCGCGCAUCAGCCAUGGCGCGGUGAAUACGUUCCCGGGCCUUGUACACACCGCCCGUCAAGCCAUGGGAGCCGGGGGUACCUGAAGUUCGUAACCGCAAGGAUCGACCUAGGGUAAAACUGGUGACUGGGGCUAAGUCGUAACAAGGUAUCC